CUCUAUGAGCCCCAUGUUGCACCCAAAAUGGGUUCCUUCAGUAUCUUCCAAGUGUUUAACCAAGAACUGCGGGUGACCACUUGUGGGUGUGCGUGGUGGAGGCGUCCAGGGCUCACUUUGCAAACCCAACAGAAAGGACCUGUCUCCCUCUGGAAGAGAAACCAGAAAUGCAAGACUGGUCUUCUCACCAAAGGGCCUCCCCACGUCCUUCAAAACCCAGGACUGCUGGGCCACAAUCUUUUGCCUGGUGCCAGAGACCUCUGGGGAGCAGAUGCUACCUGGGGAGGUGGGGAGGAGGGGCAGCCUGGCCCAUGAGUUCUGAAGACAGUGUGUGUGCAUCUCCUAGAGCAGAAGAAGCCGCUGGAAGGUGAACCACACACGCUGAUCUGAGCAGAGUGAUGGGCCAGUAAGAGAAUAGAGAGCUCGGCCUGAGUCCCCGCCUCAGCGGCACUUCCAAGUUCCUAAUUGGAAAAUGCUGGAAUUCUCGUCUGUAAAGCAAAUUUGACAACGAUGAUGAGAUCAGUUCCUUCGGCAACGUGGCCGUCCGGUCGGUCUCUCCAUCCCUGCGUGCUCACCGGUCUGUAUGAGUCUCUUCGAUCCACACGUGCUGAUCAAUCGUGUGCGUGGAGCGAUGGCAGUGGUCUCUCUCGUUUUGAUAAUGUGAAAAGACAGGUGACUACGGGGGGGGCGGGUUGCGGGGCUGAGGAACUGACGUCAGGUGGACCACAACUCCCGGACGGAAGAGUGAGCGAGAGGAGGCAAGAAACAGAAGACAGCCCUGAGAAGGCCGAGCUCGGGGUCACGAGGAAGGCCCAGGCCAGGUCAGGCCGGGCCAGGACUCUGUGCUUUUAUUUAUGCAGCCGCCAAGGUGCUCUGCUUUCUAUCAUUUCUGAGGCCGGUUUGUGUAGGUUCAGGGUGCGCGUGUGUGUGCGCAUCUGUGUUUUAAUUUGGCUGACUUCAGACUUCUUUCUUGGAAGGAGACAUUUCCUUCUCUUUAAAAGGUGUUUAUUUAUCAUACACAAAAUUAAGAAAAUCUUGCAUAUCACAAACAUAUACCCUGUGGAGCAAGAAACUCCCGGGGCCUGGCCCAGUGCCACCCCUCCUGGACAAUAACGGAGCAAUCGGUCUUGUACAUCACAGCGGUGGGCACCAGGCCGCGGCUCCUGCCCACAGGCAGGGUCUCACCCCACAUCCAAACCCCAGGCCCUCCUCAUUUAGCUCUUCAACAGACCUGUUAGCCGACGUGCACAAAUAGAAGCGCGCAUGCAUACACACAUACUCACACACAAUGGCUAGAGACGCUUAAUUAAGAAUUUAAGGAAGUCUUUGAAUAUUUGACCCUUUUUGCGUGCCUCUAAAAUGCAGGGACCUGGGUUAAAAUCAUGCCAAUCGUACAGAUCCGUCUGCUGGAGCAGAGAAAACUCGAUUCAGGGCUGUUGAGCAAUUUAAUCAAAGAGCUAAGCUAUUUUUGCAAUAGCCCUGAACAAUGAUCUUUUUCUCUGCACUUGGACAGUCAAGCACAUGGGCCUUGGCAUAAAAAUGUCCUUGAGCUCCAAGCAGGGGUGAGGCCUGUGGCCGAAAAGAUCUUCAAGCACUUCCAGUCCUUUCCACACUCCUGGAAGGUUUUGAAGGAAAAAGGAGAAGAAAAAGGAGGAAAAAAAAACAUCCUUUGGUUUCGAUAAGCACCCUCUGUACUUGCGUUUGUCUCUUCAGACGUCGUUGGCCAAAGCGUCUGCUAAAAAUAUAAUGAAGGGGGGGGUGCGGGGGAGGGAGAGUUUUUAAACGAACCCUUUUGAUUUCUGACUGCCUCCCUCCACCAAUUCACCUCAAUGCAAAAGUGUCACACCAGCUGCCCUUCUUCUCAGCCCUUUUGGGGCACUUGACUUGGGCAAAUUAUUUUUGAAAUGAAAGGAAGAAAUACACUUGUUUUGAUUCUUUCUGUGGGGCUCCAGGCUCUCUGAGCCGGAGAAUGGCUCUAGCUCCAAGCGGGUCUGUGUUCGGAGCCUGCCCCCUGCCAGGGGUGAGGUGCUGUGGCUGCAAGGUGGGCCCACCCUGCGGGAGCAGGACCCGGCCGGUCCCGGGGGUGGACGGGAAUCGGUCUCGUGGGGUUCCAAAGGGCCAGCCAGCUGGAAACACCCAAGUAUCCUGUUUCGCAGCUUCCAGGAUCUGGUCAUCCAUGUCGCCCUUGGAGUUUGCCCAAAAGGAAGAGAAGAGGAGAGCCCAGCAGGAGCUGUCCGGUAGCCGGGUGGUUAGCUCAUUGGGUUCCUUGGAGCUCGCUUUAGCUCUUCCCUUCCAGCCAAACCCAAAGGUUACUGGAGCAGGCUGGGUCGGCUUGGGCUAGGAGGGCUGAGUCAUCCACGGGACAGGAUCGCAGUGACUAUAAAUUAUCCUGUGUUUAAGGACGGCUUUCUAAAACCCUGGCUUUGGGCUUGGAGUCUUUAUUUAUAUCUCUCACAGGAAUAUUUUUCAAACUCAUGACAGUGCACUCUGUAUUGCUUUGGGGACACUCCAAGCACCUGGUCUCCUCUAUAACGAGCCCUGCAGGUGACAGGCCCUCAGAGUCCCUGCGCCUGGACUCUGGGGCGACUCACACUCACGCCCACACGUACAUCUCCUUGCUGCCAGGUCAGGCCCCAUCUCAUGCUUGGAGGUACGUUCACCUCACUGGCCCCAGCAUCACAUGCAGGCACAGAUACCUUCAGACACACACACACACACACACACAAAUGCAAACUAUAGGGAACAGUGCGCACUGGUGCUUGGUACAUUCCAGAGACGGCCCCUGCUCCCGAGGACACGGGCACCACACAGGAAUUACUCCUCAGGCUGCGGGGCCUCCAGGGGUGGGACGCCCACCUGUCUGGCUCAAGAGUAUUUGCCCAGCGAUUGAUGACUUUUCUUUUUUCUUUUUUCCUUUCUCUCUUUUUUUUCUUUUUUAGAAUUUUUAUUUUUUAUUUAUUCAUGAGACACCCAGAGAGAGAGGCAGAGAUACAGGCAGAGGGAGAAGCAGGCUCCCUAAGGGCGGCCCCAUACGGGACUCGAUCCCAGGACCCUGGGAUCACGCCCUGGGCCAAAGGCAGACGCUCAACCGCUGAGCCACCCAGAUGCCCCAGACUGAUGACUUUUCAUUUUGGCAAGUUGGCUUCUCAUCGUCGUUCUUGCUCCUCGUGCCUCACAAGGCAUGCGGAGCGGAACCACAGCCUACAGGCUUCCAACAGCUCCUGGGGCCCAAAGGUCCCAAGUCCCAGUGAAGGAGCCUUGCAGACCCUCCCUCCCCCUCUGACGAUCUGCAAGUCAGGAGCCGAGGCUGUUGAGAGGAGGGGGAGUGGGGUAAGUUUGUCUCUCCUGCAAAUAAAUCAUUCCUUUAAUCCCUCUGCA
rnacentral:lncRNA from 12 species